AGCAGCCGCGGUAAUUCCAGCUCCAAUAGCGUAUAUUAAAGUUGUUGCAGUUAAAAAGCUCGUAGUUGAAUUUCGGAAUCAGUACGCUGGUCGUGCCUUCGGUAUGUACUGGUGUCACUGAUUCCUCCCUUCUGAAGAACCAUCAUGCCAUUCACUUGGUGUGGUGGGGAAUCAGGACUGUUACUUUGAAAAAAUUAGAGUGUUUAAAGCAGGCCCGCGCUUGAAUACAUUAGCAUGGAAUAAUGAAAUAGGACGUUAAUCCUAUUUUGUUGGUUUCUAGGAUCGACGUAAUGAUUAAUAGGGAUAGUUGGGGGCAUUAGUAUUCAAUUGUCAGAGGUGAAAUUCUUGGAUUUAUUGAAGACUAACUACUGCGAAAGCAUUUGCCAAGGAUGUUUUCAUUAAUCAAGAACGAAAGUUAGGGGAUCGAAGACGAUCGGAUACCGUCGUAGUCUUAACCAUAAACUAUGCCGACUAGGGAUCGGAUGAUGUUAAUUUUUUAAUGUACUCAUUCGGCGCCUUA
rnacentral:sRNA from 1 species